rnacentral:ncRNA from 1 species
AUAGCUGGUUCAACAGUUUCUCCUCUAUUUCUCCUUUGUAGACUUGGCGCACAUUUUGAUUGAAUGUGCGCAUUUUU